rnacentral:lncRNA from 1 species
GCUGGUGCAGUGGCUCACGCCUGUAAUCCCAGCACUUUAGGAGGCCGACGUGAGGCAGGCGGAUCACUUGGGGUCAGGAGUUUGACACCAGCCUGGCCAACCUGGUAAAACCCCAUCUCUAUUGAAAACACGAAAAUUAGCCAGGCGUGGUGGUGAGUGCCUGUGAUCCCAGCUACUCAGGAGGCUGAGGCAGGAGGAUCACUUGGACUCGGGAGGCAGAGUUACAGUGAGCCGAGAUCCUGCCACCGCACUCCAGCCUGGGCGACAGAGAAAGACCCCAUCUCAAAACAACAGCAACAACAACAAAACCGGGCUGGGCGUGCCUUCCCAUCGGACACCCGACCUCGCAAGACUGUCAUUAAAAGUCUCACUCUCGCUGUUCUCUGGGUUGUGAGUCCAUUCUCUGGGUGUGGACAGUUUACAGACCCAGAGACUCGGGCCCAGAGAAGACAAGUGACUUUGAACAAAGCAAAUUAGUGGCAAUGCCCAGACUUGAACCGAGAUUGGCAGAGCUUGGUGGUCUGCCACAAACCACCCUCCCCCACAGCAGGUGCGGGUGGGGGGCUCCGUUCUUCCGGUCACCACAGCAUGUUACAGGUUUCUGCAUCAGUGCGCCUCCUCUUAGGAAGAAACAUCUCUGGGCUGGGAUGGCUAGCUCCCCGCUUUCAGCCAUGUAGAAUUUCUCUUGGCAUUUUAGUUAGAAGUGUUGUCUAGAUUUCUUAAGUGUCUGAGGCUGCCCUGGCCACAGGGAUGAGUUAGGGAAAAUUACCGUUUCCCAUGUGCGUGUGUGAAGCUCUCCAUGCUCACUGAAGUCAGAGUGAGAAGCAGCAAACACGUCAUCGGGAGGGUGGCCAGCAAGGCUGUGUCCUUUCACACGUCCUCAGAUCAUCCUUGAAUCCACCCACAUUCCAAAUUCAUUCUCAAAAAUGAGAUUCCAAAUUUCAGGAUCUAUUUACAGCCAGACGAUUUUGGUGCCCCCUGCUCAAAAGCUUUGAUUACUCCUGUGCUUAAUUAAGUCACAAAUCCCUGGCCCAUCAUCCAAGACCACUUGUGAUGUGGUUAAACCUACCUCUGUGAGUGCUAGUAAAUCUACCUCUACUAGUACUAGUAAAUCUACCUCUGCUAGCGCUAGUAAAUUUACCUCUACCAGUACUGCCCCCCACUGUUUCCUUUUCAGGCAUUCAGCUCAGUCUACGGCCCGCAGACAGAUUUCCUAGAAAUAACUGCUCCUACUUCUCAACUCUUAACAAAAAGGUCUCUGAAAAGGAAUUUGGAGGAAACAGACUAUUCCAGUGAAUAGUGUACAAGCCUGGGAGAUGCGGACUUUGGUGUAAAAUGAAGGUGUGUUCAAAGAGCAAAGAAGGAGUUCGGGUUUUAGAGCAAAAAGCUCCUGCCCUGGGGUCCCCAUUAGGUCCAUGUAGGCAAAUGAAGGAUUGAAACGUGCUUAGUUCUGAUUGGUUGGUACAGCUGGGCCCUGAUGGGUUGGUUUCCAAGCCGCGAACCGGAAGUCUUUGUUAGCUGUUUCUUUCAAACAGUGGUGGGGGGCGUGAGGGGCG